UACGUAGGGGGGCAAGCGUUGUCCGGAAUCAUUGGGCGUAAAGAGCGUGUAGGCGGUUCGGUAAGUCGGCUGUGAAAGUCCAGGGCUCAACCCUGGGAUGCCGGUCGAUACUGCCGGACUAGAGUUCGGAAGAGGCGAGUGGAAUUCCCCGGUGUAGCGGUGAAAUGCGCAGAUAUCGGGAGGAACACCUAUGGCGAAGGCAGCUCGCUGGGACGUUACUGACGCUGAGACGCGAAAGCGUGGGGAGCAAACAGG
rnacentral:rRNA from 1 species